AUAUUAAGUUGUUGCGGUUAAAAAGCUCGUAGUUGGAUUUCUUCGGAGGUAGGCAGGUCCGCCUUUUGGGCGUGUAUUUGAUCGACCUCUGAAUCCUGUCAAAGAACGUACUUGUGAUUAAGUUCAUGAUGCGGUAUUUGACACUUUUACUUUGAGGAAAUUAGAGUGUUCACGGCAGGCAAUCGCCCUGAAUAUGUUAGCAUGGAAUAAUAAUAUAGGAUCUUGGGUCUAUUUUGUUGGUUUCUAGAGCUAAGAUAAUGAUUAAUAGGGACAAUUGGGGGUAUUCGUAUUAACACGUCAGAGGUGGAAUUCUUAGAUUGUGUUACGACGAACUACUGCGAAAGCAUUUACCAAGGAUGUUUUCAUUGAUCAAGAACGAAAGUGAGGGGAUCGAAGAUGAUUAGAUACCGUCGUAGUCUUCACCAUAAACUAUGCCGACUAAGGAUUGGUGGAGUACUUUUAUUGUCUCCAUCAGCACUUUAUGAGAAAUCAAAGUCUUUGGGUUCCGGGGGGAGUAUGGUCGCAAGGCUGAAACUUAAAGGAAUUGACGGAAGGGCACCACCAGGAGUGGAGCCUGCGGCUUAAUUUGACUCAACACGGGAAAACUUACCAGGUCCAGACACAGUUAGGAUUGACAGAUUAAGAGCUCUUUCUUGAUUCUGUGGGUGGUGGUGCAUGGCCGUUCUUAGUUGGUGGAGUGAUUUGUCUGGUUAAUUCCGUUAACGAACGAGACCGUAACCUGCUAAAUAGUUAGUCGUAUCUUCGGAUAUUGGCCUUAACUUCUUAGAGGGACUUUGUGAACUUAAAUGCAAGGAAGUUUGCGGCUAUAACAGGUCUGUGAUGCCCUUCGAUGUUCUGGGCUGCACGCGCGCUACACUGAUGCGUUCAACGUGUUUAUAACCUUGACCGGCAGGUUUGGGUAAUCAUAAAAACGCAUCGUGCUGGGGAUAGAUUAUUGUAAUUAUUAAUCUUCAACGAGGAAUUCCUAGUAGACACGGUUCAUCAGACCGUAUCGAUUACGUCCCUGCCCUUUGUACACACCGCCCGUCGCUCCUACCGAUUGAGCAAUCCGGUGAAUACUUCGGACGGAGUUGCUUGCCGGUUUCGGCUUGUGACUCUGAAAGU
rnacentral:rRNA from 1 species